rnacentral:tRNA from 1 species
GUGGGUAUAGCUUAGUGGUAGAGUGCAUGUUUAGCAUGCUUGAGGUUCUGGGUUCGAUCCCUAGUACCUCUA